UGACUGGGGCGAAGUCGUAACAAGGUAGCCGUAGGGGAACCUGCGGCUGGAUCACCUCCUUUCUGGA
rnacentral:rRNA from 1 species